UCCCUGGCAGUCCAGUGGUUAGAACUCUGCACUUCCACUGCAGAGGGCUUGGGUUCGAUCCCCAGUUGGGGAA